rnacentral:tRNA from 2 species
GGGUCGUUAGCUCAGUUGGUAGAGCGCUUCGUUUACACCGAAGAUGUCGGCGGUUCGAGCCCGUCACGACCCACCA